rnacentral:rRNA from 1 species
UAGGGAAUCUUCCGCAAUGGGCGAAACCCUGACGGAGCAACGCCGCGUGAGUGAUGAAGGUCUUCGGAUCGUAAAACUCUGUUAUUAGGGAAGAAUAAUUGUGUAAGUAACUCUGCACGUCUUGACGGUACCUAAUCAGAAAGCCCCGGCUAACUACGUGCCAGCAGCCGCGGUAAUACGUAGGUGGCAAGCGUUAUCCGGAAUUAUUGGGCGUAAAGCGCGCGUAGGCGGUUUUUUAAGUCUGAUGUGAAAGCCCACGGCUCAACCGUGGAGGGUCAUUGGAAACUGGAAAACUUGAGUGCAGAAGAGGAAAGUGGAAUUCCAUGUGUAGCGGUGAAAUGCGCAGAGAUAUGGAGGAACACCAGUGGCGAAGGCGACUGUCUGGACUGUAACUGACGCUGAUGUGCGAAAGCGUGGGGAUCAAACAGG